UACGGAGGGUGCGAGCGUUGUCCGGAAUCACUGGGCGGAAAGGGCGCGUAGGCGGCUUCUCAAGCGUGUGGUGAAAGUCCGGGGCUCAACCCCGGAUCGGCCGUGCGGACUGGGGAGCUCGAGUUCUGUAGAGGCGGGUGGAAUUCCGGGUGUAGCGGUGGAAUGCGUAGAGAUCCGGAAGAACACCAGUGGCGAAGGCGACUCACUGGACACGUAUUGACGCUGAGGUGCGAAAGCGUGGGGAGCAAACAGG
rnacentral:rRNA from 1 species